rnacentral:rRNA from 1 species
AGUGAACGCUGGCGGUAGGCCUAAUACAUGCAAGUCGAACGGCAGCACAGUAAGAGCUUGCUCUUACGGGUGGCGAGUGGCGGACGGGUGAGGAAUACAUCGGAAUCUACUUUUUCGUGGGGGAUAACGUAGGGAAACUUACGCUAAUACCGCAUACGACCUACGGGUGAAAGCAGGGGAUCUUCGGACCUUGCGCGAUUGAAUGAGCCGAUGUCGGAUUAGCUAGUUGGCGGGGUAAAGGCCCACCAAGGCGACGAUCCGUAGCUGGUCUGAGAGGAUGAUCAGCCACACUGGAACUGAGACGCGGUCCAGACUCCUACGGGAGGCAGCAGUGGGGAAUAUUGGACAAUGGGCGCAAGCCUGAUCCAGCCAUACCGCGUGGGUGAAGAAGGCCUUCGGGUUGUAAAGCCCUUUUGUUGGGAAAGAAAAGCAGCAGGUUAAUACCCCGCUGUUCUGACGGUACCCAAAGAAUAAGCACCGGCUAACUUCGUG